rnacentral:rRNA from 1 species
CCUACGGGAGGCAGCAGUGAGGAAUAUUGGUCAAUGGACGAGAGUCUGAACCAGCCAAGUAGCGUGAAGGAUGACUGCCCUAUGGGUUGUAAACUUCUUUUAUAUGGGAAUAAAAUGUUCCACGUGUGGGAUUUUGUAUGUACCAUAUGAAUAAGGAUCGGCUAACUCCGUGCCAGCAGCCGCGGUAAUACGGAGUAUCCGAGCGUUAUCCGGAUUUUUUGGGUUUAAAGGGAGCGUAGGUGGAUUGUUAAGUCAGUUGUGAAAGUUUGCGGCUCAACCGUAAAAUUGCAGUUGAGACUGGCAGUCUUGAGUACAGUAGAGGUGGGCGGAAUUCGUGGUGUAGCGGUGAAAUGCUUAGAUAUCACGAAGAACUCCGAUUGCGAAGGCAGCUCACUGGACUGCAACUGACACUGAGGCUCGAAAGUGUGGGUAUCAAACAGGAUUAGAUACCCUUGUAGUC